UUGUUGGAAAAAAGGGUUGUCCAUCAUCACUAACAUGAAUGAAACAUCACUAGCAUGACCUAAACAUAUGUAGACUGUAAAACAACUUUUUGGAAGCAACUAAUUUGACGUGUUGUCUUCUAUGAUGGUGUGAGGGAGCACAGCCUUCAAUCUUUAGCUGAAGGAUCCUCUCUGUCAUUUUUCCAACGGAUUUGACAGGUGAUCUUUAAAUACAUAACCCUUGAAGCACUGUUCUAGUUUAAAUGCAGCUGAGUUUGGCACCGGUGUGAAUGUGGGGAUAAAAUUAGAAGGGCCGUUCAUUCAUUACUGUAGCACUUCUAAAUUUCUCUAUAUGGUGUAUCUUGUCAGCAAUUUUCCAGUGUGUCCUUCAAUCUAAUCCUUUCAGAUCAUGUCAUGAAUGGUUCUUCAUCCCUAGCAUCAAGAGGGUGAAAAAGGAGGAAAAUCUGAAACCCCUAAAUAAAUCCUUCCUAGCUUUCCGACAAGUAUUUUCAAAUUUUACAAUCUCACUCUCAGUUUCCAGUGACUUUGUAGUGUUAAGAUAGCCUUAGGCCUCUUGACCCAUAGAGAAGAAAGAGAUAAGUAUGAUGGUGUGAGGGAGCACAGCCUUCAAUCUUUAGCUGAAGGAUCCUCUCUGUCAUUUUUCCAACGGAUUUGACAGGUGAUCUUUAAAUACAUAACCCUUGAAGCACUGUUCUAGUUUAAAUGCAGCUGAGUUUGGCACCGGUGUGAAUGUGGGGAUAAAAUUAGAAGGGCCGUUCAUUCAUU
rnacentral:lncRNA from 1 species